rfam:Clostridium sp. IEH 97212 scaffold_3, whole genome shotgun sequence.
AAUUAUACGAUGAUAAAGAAGAGUAAUAAUAAACAUUAUAAAGAGAGUCUGUGGUAGGUGAAAACAGUCAGUGUUUAUUAUGAAGGGAACUUUUGAGUAUGUGAUUAGAAAGUAGGGCUAUAGCCAAAAAGGGUGGAACCGCGAUUAAGUCGUCCCUUUG